rnacentral:rRNA from 1 species
AUGCAAGUCGAGCGGUAACAGGUGUAGCAAUACAUGCUGACGAGCGGCGAACGGGUGAGUAAUGCUUCGGAAUCUGCCCAAUGGUGGGGAAUAACCAGCCGAAAGGUUGGCUAAUACCGCAUAAGCCCUACGGGGGAAAGCAGGGGAUCGCAAGACCUUGCGCCGAUGGAUGAGCCGAAGUCGGAUUAGCUAGUUGGUAGGGUAACGGCCUACCAAGGCGACGAUCCGUAGCUGGUCUGAGAGGACGACCAGCCACACUGGGACUGAGACACGGCCCAGACUCCUACGGGAGGCAGCAGUGGGGAAUAUUGGACAAUGGGGGAAACCCUGAUCCAGCGACGCCGCGUGUGUGAAGAAGGCCUGCGGGUUGUAAAGCACUUUUAGUGGGGAUGAAAAGCUCAGGGCUAACACCUCUGGGUCUUGACCUAACCCACAGAAAAAGCACCGGCUAACUCUGUGCCAGCAGCCGCGGUAAUACAGAGGGUGCGAGCGUUAAUCGGAAUUACUGGGCGUAAAGCGUGCGUA